UCGAACGGCGCCAGUCGCCCUCGACACACAAACCAGGUGGAAGCGACCCGUGCUUCGGCGCUCCGGCGCCGCCUCGACGCGUGAAUCCGUCUGAAGUCUGAAUCAUGAAAUUUGAAUCA
rnacentral:misc_RNA from 1 species